rnacentral:tRNA from 1 species
GCGGGCAUGGUUCAAUGGUAGGACGGCGGCUUCCCAAGCCUCAAACACGGGUUCGAUUCCCGUUGCCCGCUCCA